rnacentral:rRNA from 1 species
UGGGGAAUAUUGGACAAUGGGGGGAACCCUGAUCCAGCCAUGCCGCGUGUGUGAAGAAGGCCUUAUGGUUGUAAAGCACUUUAAGCGAGGAGGAGGCUACUUUAGUUAAUACCUAGAGAUAGUGGACGUUACUCGCAGAAUAAGCACCGGCUAGCUCUGUGCCAGCAGCCGCGGUAAUACAGAGGGUGCAAGCGUUAAUCGGAUUUACUGGGCGUAAAGCGCGCGUAGGCGGCUAAUUAAGUCAAAUGUGAAAUCCCCGAGCUUAACUUGGGAAUUGCAUUCGAUACUGGUUAGCUAGAGUGUGGGAGAGGAUGGUAGAAUUCCAGGUGUAGCGGUGAAAUGCGUAGAGAUCUGGAGGAAUACCGAUGGCGAAGGCAGCCAUCUGGCCUAACACUGACGCUGAGGUGCGAAAGCAUGGGGAGCAAACAGGAUUAGAUACCCACGUAGUCCUGAGCGGGCUGGCAAGGCGCAU